AUUUAUAUAGUUUAAUAAAAACAUUAUAUUUUCACUAUAAAAAUAGAAAUCAUUUCUUAUAAAUA
rnacentral:tRNA from 1 species